UGACCACGUUGCCCUAUAAUUUCCACAAAACACAAUAAAGUGACUAAUUCCCAAAAUGUUGAUGACCUGCACAACAGAUAGAAGUAGGGUUUAUUUUUCUGUUUAAAAUUAUUAUUAUAAUAUUAUACAUUCGGUUUUUCACCUGUUAUGGCUAACUGGCCCGACUCUGAAUUUACGUACAGUAUUUAAUGGUAGAGAUAAAAUUGUAAUACACAAUAUCACUCUGUGGGCUUAUUCAAUAAAAAACAAUGUGUUGUGAAUUGAACACUGAAUUACAAAUGGAGGAUAAACCAGUCAAGUUGUGACUAUAGCUGAAUUGGAGAAUUUUUGCAGAUAGGCAAUUUUGACCAAAAUUUUGCAAUUUUCAAUUCAGUUUGCCGGGCGGCACAAAUCAGUGACAAGAUCUGUGAUAUUUCCUAUCAUGGCUCACAGUAAUGAAGAAAGGAGAUCCCACUUGUUUUCUCAGGCUUCUUUGAGGCAGGAAGGUAGAACAUGUAGGGCACCCCUAACCAUCUAUUUAGUAAAGUGAGACUUCAUAGUGAAAUCAAAAUGAAUUUCAAGCAAGAGUAGUCAAACUAAAAGUUACAUUCAAAGUGACUUUCAAAUUCUAGGACAAAGUGGGAGCAAAGCUGACUUUGAGAUUUUUUCCAGUUUGACUUUUCUAGCCUCAAAUUUAAAAUACACUCUGAAUUCUCACGUUAGUGAAUAAACCUGAGAAAAUUUUCCAGCUCCGCUACUUUCACCUUAUAUUUGAAACUCACGUUAAAUUCUCACUUUAGUAAAGAACCCUGUAAGCAUCAUUAAAACCACUGACAAGUGAAGUGAAUAACAUUGAUUAUAUCAUUGUAAGGGCACCUGUCAAGAGGUAGAAUUUAUUAGGCACUUAGGCAAGUAAAAAGAUCUGAGCGACUUUGACAAGGGCCAAAUAGUGAUGGCUAGAUGAUUGACUUUGUCAGAUUUUUUCCUAAACGUCAUGCCUUGUGGAGUGGUCCUGGUAUGCAGUGAUUAGUACCUACCAAAAUGGAUGCAUGGAAAGACAACCAGUGAACCGGCAUUAGUGUCAUGGGUGCUCAAGGCUCAUUGAUGUAUGUGGGAAGCAAAGACC